AGGUUAGCUAUCCGACCAUUCCUAGCGUAGUAACCCAUACUCAUUUUCUUAUUUUUGUUGAUGUCUGGGGUCUAUGUCAAUUAAAGGAAAAGGGGAGAUUACAAAUUUUUCUACAAGUACUUUUGAUGUUGAAUCAUUUAAAUCGGUACUCUUUGCUAAAUUUGGAUGUGUAUUCUAUAUCACAUCGGCGAAGAGAAAGUCAUUUAUGUCCACCUACGUUUGUCAAAGAAUAAGAAAAAGAAAGCAAUUUGUAACCGAACGGGGGGGGGGGUAGGAUAAAGAUUUUGGAGUAAAAUAGGCUUUUUGGGGGAUAGAGGGACUUGAACCCUCACGAUUUAAAAAUCAACGGAUUUUCCUCUUACUAUAAAUUUAAUUGCUGUCGGUAUUGACGUGUAGAAGGGGACUCUAUCUUUAUUCUUGUCCGAUUGAUCAGUUCUUGAAAAGGUUUAUCGGACUAUGGAGGGAAUGAUUUGAUGAAUAAUCAUCAGAUUUUUUCUUCAAUGUCGAAUGAAUUCACACCAAUUCUUCUAUUUUUCAUAUAAAAAAAUACAUCUAGAGAUUCGGGACAUCAUUACUCAUUUGAUAUAGUAUUCAAUAGAUAGGAUCCUUUCUGAUGUUUAGGUGGAAAGAUUCCUCUACCGGUGCCCCCAUUUGCUAGAACAGCUUCCAUUGAGUCUCUGGACCUAUCCUUUUUUUUUUCGGUUUCUGAACCUGUCUUUUGAGAAAACAGGAUUUGGCUCAGGAUUGCCCAUUUUUUUUAAUUCCGGGGUUUCCCUGAAUUUGAAAGUUAUCACUUAGUAGGUUUCCAUAC
rnacentral:misc_RNA from 1 species